CCAGAACAGAUGAAAAUGAAGCGGGAG
rnacentral:piRNA from 1 species